GGGGAUUUAGCUCAGUGGUAGGGCGCUUGCCUAGCAAGUACAAGGCCCUGGGUUCAGUUCCCAGCUCCG
rnacentral:tRNA from 1 species